AGAAAGCCAAAGGACCCCAUCGAGGAUUGGAAAAGCCAGAUUUCUGGCUGGAAAGAAGGAUUGGCUCAACCCCUCCCUGACGAGGAAGAAAACAACCUGAAACCAGAGGACUUUGAAAUCCUGGUCAUUAACAAGGACUACGGCAUGAAAGACGAGAACAG